UCUGGUGAUAAUGGCGGAGGGGUCCCACUCGUUCCCAUCCCGAACACGAUCGUUAAGCCCUCCAGCGCCGAUGGUACUUGGACCGCAGGGUCCUGGGAGAGUAGGUCAUUGCCAGGC
rnacentral:rRNA from 1 species